CUAUAAAUUUGUGUUGCUCUUUUAAGAACUAAGUUAAUGAUGAGGGGAGCCAAGUUUGCUAAAGUAAUUGUGGUGAUAGAAAUGCAGUAGCCUCAGAAGCUACUAGGUGGUUCAUUCUAUCUCAGUACAGUG